GACGAACGCUGGCGGCGUGCCUAAUACAUGCAAGUAGAACGCACAGUUUAUACCGUAGCUUGCUACACCAUAGACUGUGAGUUGCGAACGGGUGAGUAACGCGUAGGUAACCUGCCUGGUAGCGGGGGAUAACUAUUGGAAACGAUAGCUAAUACCGCAUAAUAUUAAUUAUUGCAUGAUAAUUAAUUGAAAUGUGCAAUUGCACCACUACCAGAUGGACCUGCGUUGUAUUAGCUAGUAGGUGAGGUAACGGCUCACCUAGGCGACGAUACAUAGCCGACCUGAGAGGGGGGGCGGCCACACUGGGACGGAGACACGGCCCAGACUCCUACGGGAGGCAGCAGUAGGGAAUCUUCGGGAAGGGGCGAAAGUCUGACCGAGCAACGCCGCGGGAGUGAAGAAGGUUUUCGGAUCGGAAAGCUCUGUUGUAAGGGAAGAACGGGUGUGAGAGUGGAAAGUUCACACUGUGACGGUAUCUUACCAGAAAGGGACGGCUAACUACGUG
rnacentral:rRNA from 1 species